rnacentral:rRNA from 1 species
UACGUAGGGUGCGAGCGUUGUCCGGAAUUAUUGGGCGUAAAGAGCUUGUAGGUGGUUUGUCGCGUCUGCUGUGAAAAUCCGAGGCUCAACCUCGGACUUGCAGUGGGUACGGGCAGACUAGAGUGUGGUAGGGGAGACUGGAAUUCCUGGUGUAGCGGUGGAAUGCGCAGAUAUCAGGAGGAACACCGAUGGCGAAGGCAGGUCUCUGGGCCAUUAACUGACACUGGAGAAGC